CCGAGGGCGGCAGCUUACACAUGCAAGUCGAGCGGAACGAUGGUAGCUUGCUACCAGGCGUCGAGCGGCGGACGGGUGAGUACUACUUAGGAAUCUACCUAGUAGUGGGGGAUAGCUCGGGGAAACUCGAAUUAAUACCGCAUACGACCUACGGGAGAAAGGGGGCAACUUGUUGCUCUCGCUAUUAGAUGAGCCUAAGUCGGAUUAGCUAGAUGGUGGGGUAAAGGCCUACCAUGGCGACGAUCUGUAGCUGGUCUGAGAGGAUGAUCAGCCACACCGGGACUGAGACACGGCCCGGACUCCUACGGGAGGCAGCAGUGGGGAAUAUUGGACAAUGGGGGAAACCCUGAUCCAGCCAUGCCGCGUGUGUGAAGAAGGCCUUUUGGUUGUAAAGCACUCUAAGCAGUGAAGAAGACUCCUCGGUUAAUACCCGUGGACGAUGACAUUAGCUGCAGAAUAAGCACCGGCUAACUCUGUGCCAGCAGCCGCGGUAAUACAGAGGGUGCAAGCGUUAAUCGGAAUUACUGGGCGUAAAGCGAGCGUAGGUGGCUUGAUAAGUCAGAUGUGAAAUCCCCGGGCUUAACCUGGGAACUGCAUCUGAAACUGUUAGGCUAGAGUAGGUGAGAGGAAGGUAGAAUUCCAGGUGUAGCGGUGAAAUGCGUAGAGAUCUGGAGGAAUACCGAUGGCGAAGGCAGCCUUCUGGCAUCAUACUGACACUGAGGCUCGAAAGCGUGGGUAGCAAACAGGAUUAGAUACCCUGGUAGUCCACGCCGUAAACGAUGUCUACUAGUCGUUGGGUCCCUUGAGGACUUAGUGACGCAGCUAACGCAAUAAGUAGACCGCCUGGGGAGUACGGCCGCAAGGUUAAAACUCAAAUGAAUUGACGGGGGCCCGCACAAGCGGUGGAGCAUGUGGUUUAAUUCGAUGCAACGCGAAGAACCUUACCUGGUCUUGACAUAUCUAGAAUCCUGCAGAGAUGCGGGAGUGCCUUCGGGAAUUAGAAUACAGGUGCUGCAUGGGCUGGUCGUCAGCCUCGUGUCGUG
rnacentral:rRNA from 1 species